rnacentral:rRNA from 1 species
GACGAACGCUGGCGGCGUGCCUAAUACAUGCAAGUUGAGCGCUGAAGGUUGGUACUUGUACCUACUGGCUGAGCAACGAACGGGUGAGUAACGCGUGGGGAAUCUGCCUUUGAGCAGGGGACAACAUUUGGAAACGAAUGCUAAUACCGCAUAAAAACUUCAAACACAAGUUUUAAUUUUGCAAGAUGUAAUUGCCUCACUCAAAGAUGAUCACGCGUUGUAUUGGCUAGUUGGUGAGGUAAAGGCUUUCCAAGGCGAUGAUAGAUAGCCGAUCUAAGAGGGAGGAUGGCUACACUGGGUGUGAGACACGGCCCCAACUCCGGAGGGGGGCAGCAGUAGGGAAUCUUCGGCGAUGGAGGAAUGUCUGACCGAGCAACGUCGAGUGAGUGAAGAAGGAUUUCGGAUCGUAAAACUCUGUUGGUAGUGAAGAAGGUUGGUGAUAGUGGAAAGGUAGUCAAGGGCGGGAACAUAACCAGAAGGGGCGGGUUAACUCCGG